CCUGUCCGUAGCUCGAAGUCACACUUGUAGAUACAGAUAUUCAAGUAAUGUAUUAGUGGGUUAUCCUGCAGCUCCUUUCAGUCAAAUUUUAAUAAGCCGUGAGUGAAGCAUUUGCAGACAAUGAAAGAUAAAACAUCAAAUUAUUAUUAUUAUGAGCAUUUAUAUAGAGCCAACAUUUUCCUCAGCACUUUACGAUAAAAAAACAACUAUUUAAAAACAAGUUUUUGACAGACAAAAGUAAAAUGGACAGACACAAAGGAUGAAGAAAACCCUGCUCAUACGAGUUUACAAUCUAGGUAUUAUCAGACACUCUUUGGACACUCAACCCAAUGAUUUGUAAAAUGAUGGGAGUCUACCAAGGUCAAGGUGAUUUGUAACAUCCUCUCUAAUGUUCUGAAUGGACUGUGCAAUAACGUGCAUCAAUCAAUAGCCGCAAACCAGGAGGCGCUGGUGUCAACUCUAUAGUUACUCUAAUGAUACAAGUUAUCAGCUUGAAUGCGUAUUUUCAUGCAGCAUGUAUUCUAUUGAAGGUUGACGAUUCAUUGGAAAUAUA